UACGAAGGGAGCUAGCGUUGUUCGGAAUCACUGGCGUAAAGCGCCCGUAGGCGGCUGUGUCAGUCAGGGGUGAAAUCCCGGAGCUCAACUUCGGAACUGCCUUUGAUACAGCACGUCUUGAGUCCGAUAGAGGUGGGUGGAAUUCCUAGUGUAGAGGUGAAAUUCGUAGAUAUUCGCAAGAACACCAGUGGCGAAGGCGGCUCACUGGCCCGGUACUGACGCUGAGGCACGAAAGCGUGGGGAGCAAACAGG
rnacentral:rRNA from 1 species